ACGGGUGAGGAAUACAUCGGAAUCUACUUUUUCGUGGGGGAUAACGUAGGGAAACUUACGCUAAUACCGCAUACGACCUACGGGUGAAAGCAGGGGAUCUUCGGACCUUGCGCGAUUGAAUGAGCCGAUGUCGGAUUAGCUAGUUGGCGGGGUAAAGGCCCACCAAGGCGACGAUCCGUAGCUGGUCUGAGAGGAUGAUCAGCCACACUGGAACUGAGACACGGUCCAGACUCCUACGGGAGGCAGCAGUGGGGAAUAUUGGACAAUGGGCGCAAGCCUGAUCCAGCCAUACCGCGUGGGUGAAGAAGGCCUUCGGGUUGUAAAGCCCUUUUGUUGGGAAAGAAAUCCAGCUGGUUAAUACCCGGUUGGGAUGACGGUACCCAAAGAAUAAGCACCGGCUAACUUCGUGCCAGCAGCCGCGGUAAUACGAAGGGUGCAAGCGUUACUCGGAAUUACUGGGCGUAAAGCGUGCGUAGGUGGUCGUUUAAGUCCGUUGUGAAA
rnacentral:rRNA from 1 species